UACGUAGGGGGCAAGCGUUGUCCGGAUUCAUUGGGCGUAAAGAGCGUGUAGGCGGCCAGGUAGGUCGGUUGUGAAAACUGGAGGCUCAACCUUCAGAGGUCGACCGAAACCAUCUGGCUAGAGUCCGGAAGAGGAGAGUGGAAUUCCUGGUGUAGCGGUGAAAUGCGCAGAUAUCAGGAAGAACACCUAUGGCGAAGGCAGCUCUCUGGGACGGUACUGACGCUGAGACGCGAAAGCGUGGGGAGCGAACAGG
rnacentral:rRNA from 1 species